UUGCGAACACUUUGUUCCACUCCCUAGGCUGCCUUUUCACUUUGUCGAUGGUGCCAUUUGCUGUGCGGAAGAUUGCUAAUUUGAUGUAGUCUCACGUGUUUAUCUUUGCUUUUGUUGCCUUUCAGUUUUGUGUCAAAUUCAAAAAGGAAAAAAAAAAUUGCCAAGACUGAUGUCGAUGAGUCUUCCUCCUGUGUUUUCUUCUAGGAAUUUUGUAGUCUUCAGACCUUAUGUUCAGGUCUUUUUUUUUUCCCCCAAGUCUUUAAUCCAUUUGGAGCUGCUUUUUGCGUAUGGUGUAAGAUAGGGGUCCAGUUUCAUUCUUACGCAUGUGCCUAUCCAAUUUUCCCAGUACUGCUUACUAAAGAAACUACCCUUUCCCCCUUUCUUUUAUAUAUCCUUGUAUAUUCUGGACUCAUUUGUCAUAAUGGACUGUAUAUGAAUGAGUUUAUUCUGGGCUCGCUCUCCUGUUCCACUGUCUAGGUGUCUGUUUUUAUGCCAAUACCAUACCGUUUUGAUUAUUAAAGCCUUGUACUAUAGUUUGAAAUCUGGAAGUGUGAUACUUUGAGAUGUGUUUGUUCUUAAGAUCGCUUAAGCUAUUUAGGGUUUUAUUUUAUUUCAUACAAAUUUUAUGAUUUUUUUAAAAUUUUCUUUUUGGAGAAUGGAAGCGGGGGAAAAGGGGCAGAGAAAAAAUCCUAAGCAGGCUCUACACUGAGGUCCUCCAUGUGGGGCUUGAUCCCACGACCUUGGGAUCCUGACCUGAGCUGAAAUCAAGAAUCGGAUGCUCAAUUGACUAAGCCACCAGGACACCCCCUUAAUUUCUGUUUCUGAGGCUUCAUUUUUAGUGUAUAGAAGCCCAACUGAUUUCUGUUUAUUGGUUUUCUAUCCUGCAGCUUUACUGAAUUCACGUCUUGGUUUUAACGUGGUUUUCUAGUGGAAUCUUCAGGGUUUUUUAUAUAUGAUGUUAUGUCGCCUGUAGAUAGAGACCAUCUUACUACCAUUUUUUGAUUUGGAUGGCUUCUCUUCCUUGCCUAAUUGCUCAGGCUUGGUCUUCAAGUAUUGUGUUGAAUGAAAGUGGCAAAGUUGGGUCAUCCUUGUGUUGUUACUGAUCUUCAAGGAAAAACUUACAGCUUUCCACCGUUGAGUAUAUUAGCUGUGGGCUUGUUACAUAUGGCCUUUACCGUAUCGAGGCAUGUUCCCUCUAUACUCCAUUGAGAGUUUUUAUCAGGAUAUUGAAUUUGUGAAAUGUUUUUUCUGCAUCUAAUGGAAUGAUUGAAUGAUUAUUAUCCUUCAUUUUGUCAAUGUGUUAUAUGACAUUGACUUGCAGAUGUUGAGCUAUCCUUGAAUCCUUAGAAUAAAUCCCACUUGAUCAUGGUGUGUAAUCCUUCUAAUGUACUGUUGAAUUCAGUGUGCUAAUAUUUUGUUGAGGAUUUUUGCAUCUAUGAUCAUCAGGGAUGUUGACCUGUAAUUUCAUUUUCUUAUAAUGUCCUUAACUAAUUUUGAUAUCAGGUUAAUACUGGACUUGUAAAAUGAGUUUGGAAGCAUUCCCUUCUGUUUUUUUUAGUAGAACUCAUCAUCUGGUCCUGGACUUUUUGUUGUUGUGGGAAGAGUUUUGAUUUCUGAUUUGCUCUCCUUACUAGUAAUUGGUGUCUUCAGAUUUUCUAUUCAUGGUUCAGUUUUGUUAGGUUGUGGGUUUGUAGGAAGUUAUCCAUUUCUGCUAGGUUUUCCAGUUUGUUUGGGUAUUGUUGUUCAUAAUGGUCUUUUAGGAGCCUCUGUAUUUGUGUGGUAUCAGUAAUAAUGUCUCUUCUUCCAUUUAUAAUUUUAAGUCCUCUCUCUUUUUCGCCCCCCUUGGUUAAUCUAGCUAAAGGUUUUGUUUAUCUUUACAAAAUACCUAGCUAUUAGUUUCAUUGAUCUUUUUUAUGGUCUCUCUAGUCUCUAUUUCAUUUAUUUCUGCUCUGAUCUUUGUAUUUCCUUCCUUAAGCUACUUUUGGGCUUAGUUCUUUCUGUAGUUCCUUGAGAUACAAUAACGGGUUUUGUAUUUAAGCUCUUUCUUGUUUCUUAAUGUAGGCAUUUACUGCUAUAAACUUCCGUCUUGGAACAGUAUUUGCUGCAUCCCAGAAGUUUUGAUACAUUAUGUUUCCCUUUUCAUUUAUCUGAAGAUUGUUUUUGAUUUUUCUUCUUUGACCCAUUUGUUGUUGAAAAACGUGUUGUUUAAUCUCCCUGUAUUUGUGUUUUCCAGCUUUAUUCUUUUUGAAAAAAAAUUUUAACAUUUAUUUCAGUUUUAAAGACAAAGUGUAAGGGGGGAGGGUCAGAGAGAGAGGGAGACAGAGAAUCUGAAGCAGGCUCCAGGCUCUGAGCCAUCAGCACAGAGCCCGACGUGGGGCUGGAACCCACAAACCGUGAGGUCAUGACCUGAGCUGAAGUUGGACGCUCAACUGCCUGAGGUGCCCAGGUACCCUCCAGCUUUGUUUUUGUAAUUGAUUUUUAAUUUUAUGCCAUUGUAGUUGAAAAAGAUGCUUGAUAUGUUUCAGUCUCCUUAAACUUUUUGACUUGUUUUGUGGCCUAACAUAUGAUGUAUCCCAGAGAAUGUUGUGUGUGUGCUUGAGAAGAAUGUGUUUUCUCCUGUUGGUUGUGUGAAAAUCCAUAAAGGGAAACCUUACUUAGAAUGGAGUUGGAAGGCCCUGUAGGGAGGAGCUCUCACACACACGAACUUUCCAUCACCGCCUACUUCAUUCCUGUGCCAGAAAUAGUUCACUUUAUUGCUCCAAUAGGAGGAAGGAAGAUUGUCUAAACAGCAGCAGCCUAGCCAAUAAGAAAUUGCCACAAAUCAGCCGGUAAGUAACCAUCACCACCCUAAACUCUUGCUUUUCUCCAGUAGACUUUGAGCCCCUCCCAACUUCCUCCUUGUUCUCUCUAAAGUGAUGUUCCUCUCCCUUGUUCUGCGGACUCUGCCUGUGGUUAGCCAUAGCUUGCAAGUUCUGAAUUGCAUUCCCUCUGCUAUUCUUGCAUAAACUCGUUUCACUGGUAGAACAACUUGCUCUUUUAAGGUUGACAUUACCUGGUGAUCAGAACUGGGAUGUGAAGGAGAUGAAGACCUGAGGAACUAACGACGCUCCGAACUGUGUGCGAUGCUCACAUGAGCCGUUCAUGCCCUCUGAUUACCAGUCGUCUUUUUCCUAGCGGUUGGAUAGAUCUCCUCUCAGACUCCUGCUCCCUCUCUUUGGUUCAGCUCCAACUUUAGCUGGGAUCUGUUUUUGUUUUUAGGAAGGCAUCACCCUUCCUGGGGAGUACUCUUCGGUUUUUGUUUGUCCUGUUUCUGUUUGCUGCACCUUCUUGGUGAGUCACCUGUCGUGAUCAAAAGGGGGAAACGCAUGAUUCCGGGUGUUUCAGAACAGCUGUUGGAAAAGGGUCUCUCAUAGUUAAGACAGUUUAGGGAAUCCAAAAGCAAGAUAGGUUUGACCUAGUCCUUGGACCAGGCUCUUGUGCCUUUCUGGAAAAAUAGGCGAGUUUUUGGAUACUUUGGAGUUGUAAUAACCAUUCUGGGGAAACUUUGACUUAGAUAAAUCCACCUGAAGGGGCACCUUAAAAGAGGAUCCCAACCCUCUCAGAGACAAUGGAGUACAUUGUUUGGUAUGCAGAAGCUUCUAAAAGCCAAGAUGAUUUCAAAAACAUUCCUAAAAAGGAUCCUUUACAGCACGCAAAUAAAAAUUUUGUCGUGAAAAAACAAAACAAACUAGCCAUCUGAGCAGGUAACCUUAACUUAAUCCAUCUUCCACAAAUACAGUUUGAAUCCAGCUCUUGUUUUGAGUUUUCAGGGGCACCUGGGUGGCUCAGUUGGUUAAGCAUCCAACUUGGGCUCUGGUCAUGAUCUCAGGGUUCAUGGGUUCACCUCGGGCUCUAUGCUGACAGUUCAGAGCCUGGAGCCUGCUUCCCAAUUCUGUGUCUCCCUCUGUCUCUUUGCCCCUUCCCUUCUCAUGCUUGCUCUCUUUGAAAAACAAAUAAAAGAAAAUUAAAACUUUGGAGUUUUGUAUUUGAAACGUGGCUAAGGUUUUUUGUGAGGGUUUUUGUUUUUUAUGUUUUUUAAACGAAAGCUCUUACGAUCUCUGUUUACAUAUGUGGAUGUCUAUUUUUCUACCUACAGAUAGUAUUGCCAAAAUCAAUUUGUAAAGAACUCUAUUUAAAUCGGCUUAAAGAAAAAAAACAUAUGUAAAUUAAGUAAACCCAAAUGUUUUCUGGGUUCACAUGAUCCGGGAUAAUCAAUAAGUAAAAGCUAAUUGAAGUUUGUUGGUUUAAUUAAGACCAACAUGCCUUAGAAUUCUCAACAUUGAGGGGCAUGUAGGUGGCUCAGUCGGUUAAUCAUCCGACUUCAGCUCAGGUCAUGAUCUCACGGUUUGUGGGUUCGAGCCCCACGUCGGGCUCUGUGCUGACAUCCCGGAGCCUGGAACCUGCUUCGGAUUCUGAGUCUCCUUCUCUUUCUCUGCCCCUCCCCCACUCAUGCCCUGUCUCUCAAAAAUAAACAUCAAAAACUUUUUUAAAAACAGAAUUCUCAACACUGACUAUAAUGCAAACAUGUUGUCUCUCUUGCAAAGUCUGUCAGUAAGAAAAUUCACCUGAGGUGAUGGGUGCUGGUGUCCAAUGUCUCAUGAAGUUUUUUGUGCGUAAUUUGAACAUAAUUGGCGGGGACAGUAUUGUGGUAGAGGUGGACCCCCUCCCUAAGGAACGUGGCGAAGGCCUCCUCAGAACAAGGAAGGCAACGUGGCCCAAUUAACUCCCAUACACGAAUGCCUGGCUCUGACACGACUCUCUAACGUGGACUGUGUCCAGUUGGACUACAUGUCACCGUAUAUGGGAGACAAAGAAGUAGAAAUUCCAUAAAAGGUUACACCCCGACGUGCUUGGGGCUCAGCCUUUUUGGGGUCUUUGCCUGCUGAGCCCGUGCCUGCAGGAAUAAAGCUGCUUGCUGGGAAGAGCCUCUGUGGUUGGUCUCACUGUGCGAGCAUCCUGCUACGUGUCUUGGGGGCUCGCUUCCAGGAUUCAAAGACGAUGCUUUCCCCCCUCCUCUGUCACCCCGGAGUGUGAACCUCGGAGCGCUGGGAGACGACACCUCGCCUCGCGCCAGCGGACCGCUUGAUCCAUAGGCGACCGGUCCCUCCUGGUGCAGAAGCACAGCGGAACCCGUGAGGCCCAGGAACCGGCUCAGUGACUGCUGCCCAACAGACUGGAAAGGUAGCCGAAGCGGGUCCCUGGAUUGACCACAGCAGAGUGGAGCCGGCAUCUCGAAACUGGGAGUGCGUUCCUGAUCCGUCCACGCCGUGCGAGCUGACCCCACGGAAGUAGCAGUCGGCCACUCCAGAGGCUCCGGGAGACUGCAGCCCUGCCCUGGUCACUCUGGAAGCCGGCUGAUCCACGCACAGCAGAAGCUCGAGAAAUCGGCGGUCCGGUAGAACGAAUCGACUGUCCUUAUUUUCUGAGUGCUUCAUCUUCAAGGAGGUUCAUGAGAAAGGAAUUUGCCAGGUGCUCUAGAAUACAGGGAUUUGAUUCCUUUAAGAUCAUAACACCGAGCUGGACUCUGCCUAUGGUUCGCAGUAGUUUGGGUGUGCCAAAUCGCAAUUCUUCUGCUAUUCCUGAACAAACUAAUUUUGCUGCCUGAGGAACUCCCUUUAUCAUGGAAGGCUGGUCUAGUGGUGCUGAACUCCUUGAACCCUUGUUUGUCUGGUACUCUCUUGGUGUCUCCUUCAGUUCAGAAGGACAACAUGGCAGUUUGUGUGUUGUUUGGACCUCUCCAAGCAUCGAUGGAACUUAAUUUGAACCCUCAGGUAAGUCACUUUAAGGUCAUUUUUAACACUUAUUUUCUGAGAGAGCAUGAGCAGGGGAAGGGCAGAAAGAGGGACAGACAGAAUCCGAAGCAGGCUCCAGGCUCUGAGCUGUCCGCACAGAGCCUGACACAGGGCUCGAACCCACCAACCGUGAGGUCAUGACCUGAGCUGAUGUUGGACGCUUAACCGACCGAGCCACCCAGACGCCCCAAAAGAGGAAACGCAUCUUUUCAGAUGGCUUUGGAUGCAUGCUGUGCGAUGUGGGAACUCCCCUGUAGGCUUCCCUGCUCCCCCCCUGGACAAGGACCUCUGAAUGCAUCUCUGUUCACAUCUUCCCCAGGUAGGUGAAGUUCACCUAUCAAAACAGUGAGGAAGGCUAGGACACGGUUGGGGAAAAGGACUUUGCCAAACCUGACUUCACUCAUGAACUGUGAGAGCAGGAGCUGAGGCAAAAUCGAGUGGGACGCUAAAGGCACCCCAGUUAUCAUUCUUUAAUGGACUCGUGGCUUUAUUUUCAUCUCUUAAAAAGUCAAGUUCACAAGGUAAAACUAGAGAAAUGAAAAAUCGCUCCUCUGCCUUCUAGAGGUUCCAGUACUUCGUGGUAGGAUUACUGUCAUUAACUAAAAGAUUGCGUGCGAUCUUAUCUAGACAGGAUUUAUACAUAGCUAAUUGUUCAGGGGACUCCUAUAACAAUCGCACAAAAUGCCACAGAAACAGGAGGUAUUAGGGCGUGUGGCAAAGAGCAUCCUCAUUGGGCUCCUGAUUGUUCUCCUGCCGAGCCUAGGGAAGGGUGAUGAUCCUGAGGUGGCACCUCAUUUAGAAAGGCAAGGUCUCAGUAGGGGACAAGAGCUGAUGCUUAGAAAAGUCAGGUGAAGAAAAUCCAAAUGCAGACUCGUGCCAACAGGUAAGUAGUUUACAGCAGCAGAGCUUAGUUUGUUACUUGGGAUUUUCAUUUGACUGUCUGCUUAGAGAGUGCCUGUCGGAUCGAGAUCUUUUACCAUUCCCGCAUACAUCUUCUUUCAGUAGACUUUUACACUUUGGGUUUGUACAGGAGCCACGGGUGCCCAGACCCUUAGGAAGGAUGGCCCUUGUUCUUACUUUCCCCAAACCUGAGCUUUGUGUUAACCCCAUACCUAUAAUGCUUUCGUUUGUUGAAGUAUCUGUACUUCAGAGAACUCUAGAGCUGUCGGUAGCAUUUUCGUAGAAACGUGAUGUCCAUACACACGUGAAAUGUCGAUGAUGCGUACUGUUUAAAAAUGACACCGUACUGCAGACACAGAAAGAUAGUAUUUUAUGUAUGGUAAAAAGGCAAGUGAGUGAAGCUAUACUUUUAUUGCAUUACUCUUAGUACAUCCACAACUAUUUGCACCUAAAUAGAUAUUUAAAAUAAGCAUACACAAGUAUUGACUAUUAUCUACAAAUAUUUAUUGUAACACUUGAAUAGAACUACAGGAAGCCCUUGGCACUGAUAGAAAAUAUUGAUUCACUGUUAGGUUACAAAAAUUUAUACAUAGCAAAAUUUAAUGCUCUUUACAUAAAAAAUAUUAGACUACUUAAACAAAACUUUCAAAAAUUCUUGGUAAUAGCUACCAGAAUUAGAAAAGUAAAAUUAGGCUUUAGACACUGCCUCUUCUAGAACACUGGACUCUAACAGCACCUCCACUGCUGGAAAAAAAAAAAUAUUGAAGUCUGUCAUGCAACAGGAAAACAAAACUAGCUAUUCUGGAACAACUGUUCUACACAGAAGAGAGCUUCUCCCAAUUAAAGGAAAAAAAAGGUCAAGAUCCAAAUAGGCAUUUUUAGGCAUUAACAACAACAACAAAAAGAAUCCAAAUGAAAUCUUAUCCUUGAUGUUCAAUUUUAAUAGCAUCUUGACAAAGGUAUGCUUCCUUUCAUCUUAAGACAUUUCUGCACACGUGUAUGUUUUAAAAUCCAGGAAACAGCCAAACCACAAGUUAAUUCUUAACAUGAAUAUACAGAGUUAAUCCUAUAUUAUGCAGCCCCUUUUAAAAGCACGGAUGCACCCAACGGUUAUAUGUAUCAUUUCAUAAAGAGCAACACAAAGUUUACCAUCACUAAUACCCAAUACCUCUAAUCACUUAAUGUUCUGGAACAGAAUGAUUUAGAAGGCAAGUUUCUUUUGAAAAUGGCUUAAACUCAAGGUGGAUUUUUUUUUCUUUUUUUUCUUUUUUUUGCUGAACAUCAAACUUUUAUUAUUCCAGGAAUGAUUUAGGUUUAAAAAAGGAACUAAAUACCAACCCUAAUUUAAACUACUGAAGUAUUCAAGUCUAGAAAAGUAGGAGGUCUGUGGUCUAUUUGUAAUUCGGUUUUAGAUAGUUGGUAUGAAACUGUAAACUUGCUAUUGAGACCACGUAAAAA